rnacentral:rRNA from 1 species
GUGGGGAAUUUUGGACAAUGGGCGCAAGCCUGAUCCAGCAAUGCCGCGUGCAGGAAGAAGGCCUUCGGGUUGUAAACUGCUUUUGUACGGAACGAAACGGUCCUGGUUAAUACCUGGGGCUAAUGACGGUACCGUAAGAAUAAGCACCGGCUAACUACGUGCCAGCAGCCGCGGUAAUACGUAGGGUGCGAGCGUUAAUCGGAAUUACUGGGCGUAAAGCGUGCGCAGGCGGUGCUGUAAGACAGGCGUGAAAUCCCCGGGCUCAACCUGGGAAUUGCGCUUGUGACUGCGGUGCUGGAGUACGGCAGAGGGGGAUGGAAUUCCGCGUGUAGCAGUGAAAUGCGUAGAUAUGCGGAGGAACACCGAUGGCGAAGGCAGUCCCCUGGGCCUGUACUGACGCUCAUGCACGAAAGCGUGGGGAGCAAACAGGAUUAGAUACCCGUGUAGUCC